rnacentral:rRNA from 1 species
CCUACGGGAGGCAGCAGUAGGGAAUCUUCCACAAUGGGCGAAAGCCUGAUGGAGCAACGCCGCGUGGGUGAAGAAGGUCUUCGGAUCGGAAAACCCUGUUGUUAGAGAAGAAAGUGACGGUACCUGACGAAUAAGCCACGGCUAACUACGUGCCAGCAGCCGCGGUAAUACGUAGGUGGCAAGCGUUAUCCGGAUUUACUGGGUGUAAAGGGCGUGUAGGCGGGACGGCAAGUCAGAUGUGAAAUUCAAGGGCUCAACCCUGGAACUGCAUUUGAAACUGUAGUUCUUGAGUGAUGGAGAGGCAGGCGGAAUUCCGUGUGUAGCCGUGAAAUGCGUAGAUAUACGGAGGAACACCAGUGGCGAAGGCGGCCUGCUGGACAUUACCUGACGCUGAGGCGCGCAAGCGUGGGGAGCAAACAGGAUUAGAUACCCGUGUAGUC